AGUGAACGCUGGCGGUAGGCCUAACACAUGCAAGUCGAACGGCAGCACAGUAAGAGCUUGCUCUUACGGGUGGCGAGUGGCGGACGGGUGAGGAAUACAUCGGAAUCUACUUUUUCGUGGGGGAUAACGUAGGGAAACUUACGCUAAUACCGCAUACGACCUACGGGGGAAAGCAGGGGAUCUUCGGACCUUGCGCGAUUGAAUGAGCCGAUGUCGGAUUAGCUAGUUGGCGGGGUAAAGGCCCACCAAGGCGACGAUCCGUAGCUGGUCUGAGAGGAUGAUCGGCCACACUGGAACUUAGACACGGUCCAGACUCCUACGGGAGGCACCAGUGGGGAAUAUUGGACAUUGGGCGCAAGCCUGAUCCAGCCAUCCUGCGUGGGUGAAGAAGGCCUUCGGGUUGUAAAGCCCUUUUGUUGGGAAAGAAAAGCAGCAGGUUAAUACCCCGCUGUUCUGACGGUACCCAAAGAAUAAGCACCGGCUAACUUCGUG
rnacentral:rRNA from 1 species